UACAGAGGGUGCGAGCGUUAAUCGGAAUUACUGGGCGUAAAGCGUGCGUAGACGGUUACUUAAGUCGGGUGUGAAAGCCCCGGGCUCAACCUGGGAAUUGCAUUCGAGACUGCGCAGCUAGGGUGCGGAAGAGGGAAGCGGAAUUUCCGGUGUAGCGGUGAAAUGCGUAGAUAUCGGAAGGAACAUCAGUGGCGAAAGCGGCUUCCUGGUCCAGCACCGACGUUCAGGCACGAAAGCGUGGGGAGCAAACAGG
rnacentral:rRNA from 1 species